rfam:TPA: Bos taurus chromosome 5, whole genome shotgun sequence.
UCCCGGAUGGUCCUGUGUUUAGGAUUUGGCACUUUCAAUGCUGGGGCCCAGGUUCAAUACCUGGUCAGGGAA